GAUGAAGAACGUAGCGAAAUGCGAUAAGUAAUGUGAAUUGCAGAAUUCAGUGAAUCAUCGAAUCUUUGAACGCACAUUGCGCCCGCCAGUAUUCUGGCGGGCAUGCCUGUCCGAGCGUCAUUUCAACCCUCGCGCCCAUCUGGGCUGCGGUGUUGGGGACCGGCCUGCCCCCCCGGGGCGCGCCGCCCCCAAAUUCAGUGGCGGUCUCGCUGCAGCCUCCCUUGCGUAGUAGCACACCUCGCACCGGAGCGCAGCGCGGCCACGCCGUAAAACCCCCGACCCCCAUGAGUUUGACCUCGGAUCAGGUAGGAAUACCCGCUGAACUUAAGCAUAUCAAUAAGCGGAGGA
rnacentral:misc_RNA from 1 species